rfam:Oryza glumipatula chromosome 6, whole genome shotgun sequence.
UUUACGUGCAAUUAUAAGUUUCCGUGUCCAAUUUUAAUCUUCUAUUUUAUUUAAAAUUUCUUUUUUAUUAGUGUUUUUAUUGUUAUUAGAUGAUAAGGCAUAAACAAUAUUUUUAUGUGUAACUUAUGUUUUUAAUUUUUUAAAAAAAAUUUAAAUAAGACAGUCGAUUAAAAUUGAAUAUGAGUUUUAAACUCAUGGUUACACCUAAA